AAAAUACUCCAUCUGUCCCAAAAAUUUUGUCUUACAUUUGUCUAGAUACGGAUAUAUCUAGAUACAUCCGUAUCUAGACAAAUCUAAGACAAGAAUUUUGGGACGGAGGGAGUAUUCA
rnacentral:pre_miRNA from 1 species